rnacentral:rRNA from 1 species
CUAAGAAUAUUCCGCAAUGGACGAAAGUCUGACGGAGCGACGCCGCGUGGAUGAAGAAGGCCGAAAGGUUGUAAAAUCCUUUUGUUGGGGAAGAAUAAGCGUGGGAGGGAAUGCCCGCGUGAUGACAUGAACCGACGAAUAAGUCCCGGCUAACUACGUGCCAGCAGCCGCGGUAACACGUAGGGGACAAGCGUUAUUCGGAAUUACUGGGCGUAAAGGGCAUGUAGGCGGCUUUGUAAGCCUGGCGUGAAAGUCACCGGCUCAACCGGUGGAUUGCGUCAGGAACUGCAGAGCUUGAGUCAUGGAGAGGAAGGCAGAAUUCCUGGUGUAGGGGUGAAAUCUGUAGAGAUCAGGAAGAAUACCAGUGGCGAAGGCGGCCUUCUGGCCAAUGACUGACGCUGAGGUGCGAAAGUGUGGGGAUCAAACAGG